UACGAAGGGGGCUAGCGUUGCUCGGAAUCACUGGGCGUAAAGCGCACGUAGGCGGAUCUUUAAGUCAGGGGUGAAAUCCUGGAGCUCAACUCCAGAACUGCCUUUGAUACUGGGGAUCUCGAGUCCGGGAGAGGUGAGUGGAACUCCGAGUGUAGAGGUGAAAUUCGUAGAUAUUCGGGAGAACACCAGUGGCGAAGGCGGCUCACUGGCCCGGUACUGACGCUGAGGUGCGAAAGCGUGGGGAGCAAACAGG
rnacentral:rRNA from 1 species